rnacentral:lncRNA from 1 species
UGAGAUGAAAACUGUUUUCUACCCUUCGUUGUAGCAUGUUUUACAAGAAAAGGUUUUCGUGUGGAAAACAAUUUUUAAAAGGUUUUCUUCUUGGUUUUCAGGACUUAGUAUUUCAAAAUGAGUUUCCGGAUAGAAAAUAUUUUUAAACUAAUAGAUGUGGAUAUGUGAUUAUCUGUGAUGAAAUGAAUGUGAAUGGUGAAUGUAUGUAUAUGCUCAUAUGAUUGUGGUUGUAUAUUGUACUUGUGCGACGCCGUGCAAAUACAGGAAAGACUCUGUUCGUGUCAACAGCGGACUUCCUGUAUUUGUGGC